UGGCUGCAGACACUCUGAAGGUACUUGGAGCAGGUGGAGUGUGUUUUCCAGAAGACUGAUCUGUGCGUGUGUGUGUGUGUGCAGGAACUACAGUGACUCUGCCCUGCCAUCACCGCUCCACCCCUCAGGUCACACUGUGAGGCGCGUUAUGUGGUCACCACACCGACCCCAACCAGAUCAGCCCGUCUCGCCGCGGACACACGCGCUACACCAGAGGAAGCGAUUCGAGCCGUUUGGCUCAGAUUCAGGGUGUGAAGCUGGGCGAUGCGGGCCAGUAUCACUUCAGAUUUGAGACAGACCGACCGCUGGGGAGAUGGACCUCACCUGACACCAUUACUCUGGAUGUAACGGUUCGACUCUCCUGUCAACGACAACAUCAGUGACUCGAGAAGCAGACAGCAAGGUUUCUGGUGCCUGGCUGGAGACGAGAUUCUGAUUAUUCUAGAGCCAAAACAAAAUGUCACAAUAAACAGUUAGAAGGCAGAUUUGUUUUCUAUUUGUUAUUGUUUUCAUUAUUAAUGGUCCACAUCACAAAAUUCAUCAGUGCUGUAACUCUUGAGUUUAAUAAAAUGUUCUUCUUUCAA